UCUGUGGAUGAAGCGCUGGACGGAAAGGUCAUUUAGCUGUUGCAACAGAGAUUUUUGAGGUGGCCCCUUCACUAUACAUGGUUGAACUGCGGAAGUCUGGUGGAGAUACACUGGAGUUUCACAAGUUUUACAAGAACCUUUCAACUGGGCUGAAGGAUAUUGUCUGGAAAACAGAUGAAGCAAUCCAGGAAGAAACUCUCAGUGGUAUCGUGGAUGCUAGAUCUUGAUGGCUGUUUACCUCACAUACUUGAAAUGUCAGCGGACGAACGAAUUGUCUUACAUUUUGUUCUUUAUUUCUCUAUACUGGAUUGAAAACUCGGUAAAUAUCAUAGAUCGGACUAUUCUUGCUUUUUCAUGUGGAAUUCUGUGAAUCAUAGUAAUAUUGGAUUUGAAACUUUCUCUCUUUACUUGCAUGCCGUGCAUUCCGCCGUUGAGUCGGGCUGUUAUUUCAUUGAGCAAUUCGUUAGUUACUUGGUUGUUUAGAUAGUGGCCUUUUGGUUCACCUUCAGGCUUUGUUGUUUCCUUCCUGAAAUGAAUAAAAGAUGGGUAUGUACUUUAUGUA